UCAGGGGACCGGGGGGUGGGGUGGGCUCCAAGGCCCCCUCCUGUGCCUGAGUCUCCCAGAUGCAGACGCCAACAAGCCGGGACCCUGCGUGACGGCCCGUUGGCGCAGGCCAGGGUCAAGUGGUGGGGCAGAGGCCACAGCCCUGAUACUGGCUUUUGCCUUGCUUUGUGGGGCCUCAACUCUCUCUGGGUCUCCACAGUCUCCCUUCCCAUGAGACCUGGAAGACCAGGGUGGGGAACCUGCAGGGUUUGUCCCUGCCCCAGGGCCUUUGCACUUACCCUGGUCUCCUCACUAGAGGCGCCCCCCCCCCCCCAGAUCCCUGCCUAGCGGCUCACUCUCCUUGAGUCUCAGGUCUUCCACUGAUACACAUCGCCCCCAACCUCCACCCCAUCUAGUCUUCCUCUUUCCUGAAGAUUUUUAAUAUCACAUCAACUUGUCAUUUCAUUUCAAACCAUUAACACUCUAUGUUAGCCCGCCAGGGACCUCUGUCCGUGGGGAUUCUCCAGACAUCGCCCAUGGAGUCUCUGACAGAUAAACAGACCCCCAGGGGAGUAGGUGUCUGGCCUCCCCAUUUGGGGAUGUGGUGCUGGCUGGAUCUGGAAGUUCGAGUCCUGGUUCGUCCUCCCUCUCCUGGCUGGGCUGCAGAAACUUCACGUCCAAGCAGCCUUGGAGGGGGUCUGGCAUGCACAGAACUCCAGGAGAAGUUUCCAUGAAACAAUCAUCUCUAGCCAGAUGUUCUCGGUUUUUAAGCCACAUUUUUUUUUUUUUUUUUAACCUAAGAGGGACCGAUUUCCCCAUUUCUCGGGAGGGGAAGAACAGAAGGGAAGAAGCCCAGCUCAGGCAAUCUGGUUGACACUGCAGCUGAGGACGAGAGGCCAAGGCCUGGGCCCCCGGAGCCCGCUGAGCCAGCAAUCAGCAAUGCUCCGGCCGUCCAUCAGGCGGGGGAGGACAGGAGGCAAAAGAUGUGUUUUCUUUGCGCAUUUAUGCGUUAAGAAAAGAGAGAGCACGGCAUGGAAAAUGGACAAGGCGGCCGUGAGCACGCUUCCUCCCACUCCUGGGUUUAUGGAAACGCAGACGUCAACUCAAUGUCCACAAAAGCAAACUAUUUUUCCCCCAACGUCGACAGUUCUGCCAGUUCAUCUAGUCCAUUUCUCGGAGCCACUCUGAGUUUCUGUCAA